rnacentral:rRNA from 1 species
AGAAUCAACGCUGGCGGCGUGCCUAACACAUGCAAGUCGAACGAGAAAGGGACUUCGGUCCUGAGUACAGUGGCGCACGGGUGAGUAACACGUGACUAACCUACCCUGGAGUGGGGAAUAACUGAGGGAAACCUUAGCUAAUACCGCAUAAUACCUACGGGUCAAAGGAGCAAUUCGCUUCAGGAGGGGGUCGCGGCCGAUUAGCUAGUUGGCGGGGUAAUGGCCCACCAAGGCAAUGAUCGGUAUCCGGCCUGAGAGGGCGCACGGACACACUGGAACUGAAACACGGUCCAGACUCCUACGGGAGGCAGCAGUGGGGAAUUUGCGCAAUGGGGGAAACCCUGACGCAGCAACGCCGCGUGGAGGAUGAAAUCCCUUGGGAUGGUAAACUCCUUUCGAUCGGGACGAUUAUGACGGUACCGGAAGAAGAAGCCCCGGCUAACUUCGCGCCAGCAGCCGC